UGGGGAAUAUUGCACAAUGGAGGGAACUCUGAUGCAGCGACGCCGCGUGAACGAAGAAGGCUUUCGAGUCGUAAAGUUCUUUUAUAUGGGAAGAUAAUGACGGUACCAUAAGAAAAAGCCCCGGCUAACUACGUGCCAGCAGCCGCGGUAAUACGUAGGUGGCAAGCGUUGUCCGGAAUUAUUGGGCGUAAAGCGCGCGCAGGUGGUUUAGAAAGUCUGAUGUGAAAGCCCACGGCUCAACCGUGGAGGGUCAUUGGAAACUAAUAAACUUGAGUGCAGGAGAGAAAAGUGGAAUUCCUAGUGUAGCGGUGAAAUGCGUAGAGAUUAGGAGGAACACCGGUGGCGAAAGCGGCUUUUUGGCCUGCAACUGACACUGAGGUGCGAAAGCGUGGGGAGCAAACAGG
rnacentral:rRNA from 1 species